ensembl:lncRNA
GGCAUCACGGUAACCAAAUUUCAACCAGAGAAUAAUGGCAUCACGGUAACCAAAUUUCAACCAGAGAAUAAUGGCAUCACGGUAACCAAAUUUCAACAUAGAAAAAUCAGAUAUAAUAAUCCAACAUAUCAAUGAUUAAUUUGCAGACAAACUAGAAUUAAAGCCAGAGUAAGUCAGUGGCACAGAUGGAACUAUCCAAGCAGAAGAUAAAUAUCUUUCAAAUAUUGAUAUUUGGUUGUGUUGACAAAAAAAUAAACACAAUUCAAUAUCACUUUUGAAAUACAUUAAAUAGCCGAUUAACUUGUUAACAAAUGAUAUGUUGGAUUCAUGUCUCCAACUCAACCAAAAAUAGAUGUUAAAGAAUAGGUUUAAGCCAGUGGCUCGGAUGGAACUAUCCAAUAAGUAGAUACAUCGCCUUUUAAUGUUGAUAUUUGGUUGCGUUGUCAACCAAACACAAUUCUAUAUUAUUUUUGUAUACAGUAAAUCUUUCAAACUAAUUUAACAUUUAACCUUAAAAUGAGUAACACAUUCAUGGCCACAUGUUGAGGUUACUGUUAACUAUACAUUUCUUAUAUAAUCAUAUAAAGUGUGCAUGUUCAAGAUAGCAUCAUAGGUCAUUGCAGGUCUAUGGAGAUCUUUACGAUCUCUUUAAUAAUCUGCGCAGAAUCUAGAAUGGCAUUGAUCACUUGCAUCAUGUACUUUUAAUGUCAUCUCAACUGCCAUCCAGGUCACUUGGUUGUGUGCUACCAGAUGAAGCACAGUGAUAACACAUGAAUCUGUUUUAUAAAUGAACAAAAUAUCUGACAUUGUAUUCCCAUUUGAACUGCUGUGCUUUUAAAUGGUUGAAAGUACAGUGACAGGCGUUUGACAUCUAAACCAAAAAUCAGACAUAGUUUUCCCAUUGGAUCGUGGUUGUAGAUGGUUGAAAGCAUAUUGAUGGACACAUUGGAAAUUCAACUGACGUUUGGCUGUCUUUUUGAGUUGAAUAUAGGUUGUAAUCUCAUUGAACAACGUCUCAACCAAAUAUGACACAAUUAUCCUUGUUGAAAUGACCUGGUGUGCCCAAUGGGCAGGUUCUUAGCCGACCUUUGUGGACCAUUGUUUCUGAUAUCUGAAGGAGGAAGGGGGUGGGGGCCAAAGUUAAUACCUGUGGCUUGCAUUCAGGAGUACACCUCAUCCACAUCCCCAAAUCAUGGACACACACUCCUUUUCUCUCAUCCUGCUGGUGAUCACUGUUCCUCUAUAUGCCAUCAGGAGUGACAGACCUGCAGAAAAUGAGCAUGACGUUGUCCUUACCCCUAUGUCUACCUACCUGUCUGUCGGUCUGUCUAUCCAUCUGUCGGUCUGUUCCUGAGUUUUGGAAGUGGGUAUAAGGGAUGUUGAUUGGACCCACUAGCUUGGGGAGCGGUUCGGAGAAAUCCUAACAGACCGUCGAAGAGAGGGGAGUGUAAAGGUGGAGCGCAGUUUUAAAAAUAGUCUGGAUGUUUUUCUAUGUUUUGGUUUCCUUUUCUCUGUUCACCACCUUAUUCUUAAUCUGGGCAACAAGUUGCAUUGCAGUGGAAAGCAUUAUCCUUCAUUUUUACUGUUUUAUCUUCCUGUCUGUCUGUCUUUCUCUCUGUUAAUGGUGUGAAUGUCUUUGUUUUCUUUCCUGUUUAUAUAUUUAAUGAAUAAAAGCCUGUGUUUGUGCUAAUAGAGUGGACUCUG